GGCUACCAUUUACAGCACUGAUUAACUUUUGACAACAUGUUAGGUGAAUUUAAACAGGGAGUGUCUGGUUAUUUGUAUGUGAAAUGUCGAAACACAGAAUGCGGUUAUGUGAAUUGUGUUCCCUAUGGAAAAACACACAGACUCUAGUAGAUUGAAGACCUGUGAAAGUUGGAAUGCCAUGUUUCGUUGUCAACACAAAAUUAGGAACAGCAAUGAUUGAUAGUGUAGGUGGGCCGGUGAGGGUCAACAAUUUGUUGUCAACACUAAAUAUACCAACAAUUGGAAAUAAAAACAUGAAAAGAAAUGGAGAUACGUGUUGGAAAUAUCAUUGAGACAGCACUGGCUUCUAUGCCGACAGAAUCUGCUGCAUAAGAUCAAGGAAAUGGAGGAUGUGCAUCAUGAAGAAUCAAUUGUAUCAGAACACAACAUCAUGGAAGAUCUUAUUGACAAGAUCUCGGAGGAUGUCCUUUGCCAGAUGUUUGCCAGCACUAAAGUCUAUUCAUCAGUCAGAUGCUACAGUUACAAAUGACAGUGAAUGGUCAGAUUUAUACAAUUGUGAUUAACAAUCCUCAACAAUACAUCAAACAAAAAUGCCUAUUAAACUUUCUCACAGACAGUCAUAGGUUGAAAACAAAUCAGAAGUGGUCCACAUCUUAAAAAACCUCACAGCAGAUUAAGACUUUCCCCGAAAUUUCCCUGUAAAACCCGCAGUGGUAUGUCCAGUGCAGUAGAUACUGCCUGGCACAAAAGAGGAUUUGACAGUUUAACAUUGUACUGCACCAAUAAACUAAAUAUGGAGAGAAGCUUAGUCACCAAAGCAGUCAACACCAAAAUACACACAAUGGCCAGGGCACUGAAACUUGGAAGAGUGAAAGAGUAAAGUAGUGCGUUUUUAGCUAACAAAGUGACAUUGCUAGCUUUUGUCUAUCUUUCGUCCGUAAACUUGAUCUUUAAACAACAUCUCAUAAAUUGCCAAGCCAAUUUCAUGCAAACUUACGAUAUUGUCUAGUCAGUUUUUGUUUUGCUUGCAAUCGUUAUAUGACAUGACUAAAGACAUUUAGUUUUAUUCUUAAGUUAUUAUGUUUAUGUUUGUAUAAGACCCAAAUAUAUUGUUAAGAUUCAUUUUUACAAAUUUGAAAGCCAUUAUUGUUCUAGUCAGUUUUUGUUUUGCUUGCAAUCAUUAUAUUACAUGGCUAAAGACAUUUAGUUUUAAUCUUUAAUAGUUAUGUCUAUAUUUGUAUAAGACCCAAAAAUAUUGUUAAGAUUCAUUUUUACAAUUUUGAAAGCCAUUAUUGCUCUAGUUUGUUUUUGUUUUGCUUGCAAUUGUUAUAUGACAUGACUAAAGACAUUUAGUUUAAAUCUUUAGUUAUUAUGUCUAUGAGGGGCGUCCGUGGCCGAGUGGUUAAGGUCAUUGACUUCAAACCACUUGCCCCUCACCGCUGUGGGUUGGAAUCCCGACAGGGACUUUGGAUUCUUUCUUGUGAGGAAGCUAUCCAGCUAGCUUAACUGAACGUCAGUGGUUCUACUCAGAUACCCGUUCGUGCCUGAAAUAAUGCAAGGAAGGGCACCUGAACGUCACGAUAUGACCUUUACUGUGUUGAUGUGACGUAAAAACCCAAAACAAGCAAACAAAAAAUUAUGUCUAUGAAAUUCGUUGUUUGUAUAAGACCCAAAUAUAUUGUUGUGAUUAAUUUUAACAAUUUUGAAAGCCAUAAUUGUAUGUGUCAGAUAUUGUUUUGCUCACAAUCAUAAUGUUAUAUGACAUAUGAGUUUAAAUCUGAAGGUAUUAUGUCCAUGAAAUAUGUUGUUUGUUUAAGACCAAAAUAUAUUUUGGAGAUUCAUUUUUACAAUUUUGAAAGCCAUUAUUGGUCUAGUCUGUUUUUGCAUAACACAUAACGCUAUUGUUAGUAUUUAUUGUUAUUUAUAGUGAUUUGUCUAAGUGGAUGUAGAAGUAUGUAUGUUAUUCCAUGCCAGUUCAUGUUUGAAUGAAACUUUUUGACCAGAUAGAAGUUUUCAAACUGUAACUUUUCUGAUAUUUAGCUUUUACAACAAUAUUAUAUUUCCCAUUUAUGGUGCUAAGAAAUACUGCAACAUGUGCUGAAUAAUAGCUAUUGUCAAACAUUGUUUAUAUGCUCCCCGAAAAAUUUCGGCGGACCAUAUAGUCAUUGGGUUGUCUGUCCGUCCGUCUGUACGUACAUACGAACCUGAAUUCGUGUCCAGCCCAUAACUUUGUUAUUUCAAGUUGGAUUUUAAAACUAUUUCACAGAAAUGCUCACCAUAUUGAGACGACCUGUCGCCCGCAACAUUUGGUCGCUACCUUGAAGGUCAAGGUCACACCAUGACCUUGAACAAAAUCAUGUCCUGCCCAUAACUUCGUUAUUUGAAGUCGGAUUUUAAAGCUAUUUAAAAGUAAUGAUCACCAUAUUAAGACGAUGUGUCGUGAGCAGCAUUUGGGUCGUUACCUUGAAGGUCAAGGUCACAGCAUGACCUUAAACAAAAAUUGUGCCGGCCCAUAACUUGGUUAUUUGAUGUCGGAUUUUACAACUAUUUCACAGAAAUGAUCACCAUAUUGAGACGAUGUGUCGCACACACCAUUUGGGUCAAUACCUUGAAGGUCAAGGUCGCAACAUGACAUUGAAGCAAAAUCGUGUCUGGCCCAUAAAUUCGUUAUUUGAAGUCGGAUUUUACAACUAUUUCACCGAAAUAAUCACCAUAUUGAGACGAUAUGUCACAUGCAACAUUUGGGUCAUUACCUUGAAGGUCUAGGUCACAGCAUGACCUUGAAGCAAAAAUGUGUACGGCCCAUAACGUCGUUAUUUAAAAUGGGAUUUUACAACUAUUUUGGAAUUAUCACACUUUGAACUUUGUCUGGGACAUAACCCUGAAACUUCAAAAGAUAUACUUUUCUGUAUCUAGGAUCACCCAGGUUCAACCGGCUCUUGUUUUAAUUGAUUAUUAAGUAUGAACAAUUCAUGAUAGCAUCAUAACUAAAGAGUGGAAAUUUAUGAAAGUCAAAUAUGUAUAGAAUCAGUUGCUAAUAAAAUGUGUGUAAAAUUUAUCUCUUUUUGGGAAUUAAUUUCUUUAUUUUACAAAUUUAUCAAAUUUCAUUUUAUUCUACUGAUAUGUUUGUAAUAUUUCUUUUAUUUUCUAUUGAAAAAAUGUGUUAAACCAA